rnacentral:rRNA from 1 species
UACGUAGGGGGCAAGCGUUGUCCGGAAUCAUUGGGCGUAAAGCGCGCGUAGGUGGCCUCAUAAGUCCGCUGUGAAAGUCAAAGGCUCAACCUUUGAAAGCCGGUGGAUACUGUGAGGCUAGAGUACGGAAGAGGCGAGUGGAAUUCCUGGUGUAGCGGUGGAAUGCGCAGAUAUCAGGAGGAACACCAAUAGCGAAGGCAGCUCGCUGGGACGUUACUGACACUGAGGCGCGAAAGCGUGGGGAGCGAACAGG